rnacentral:lncRNA from 1 species
UGGAUUCUUGAGAAGUGGAUAAGCACAUGUUCUCUGGAGUUCUUAGACCAUUGUAUGAAGAAACCCAAGUGAGCCUGCUAAAGAUUGAGAAACCACAUGGAAGAAACACAAACUGCCACAACAGAAGCUCAUAAAGACUAACCAGCCUUCCAACCACCAGUGAUCUGAAUGAAGUUAUCCUUAAUCAACCUGUUGAGAGCAGACUUGCCAACUGACUAUAGGCCAUGAGAGAACUUUGCAGCGAUAAGCAAAGCUGGUUCAGACCAGAAGAAUUACAGUGAUGAUCCACAGACAUCUUCACUAGGAUUUAUCUUGGUGUUUGUUAUGUCAUUUUUGUCUUGGACAACAUGUACCCACUGAAUCUGAAGAUUCAAGACUUAUGAGAAACUUUCAGGAAACUGAAGGCAGAAGAGAGGCUAAGUAACUUUUUCAAGAUCACACAGCUAAUAAAUGGCAAGGUCUGGAUUUAAACCCAACUGCCUGAUUCCAGAAUCCAGCCUGCUUCAUGCAGUACAGUCUAUCCUAAUGAGGAAGUGUAUUGGCAUCUCCUCUCUAAGCCAGUCAGUCAGCUGGCUUACUCCAGGGAUAUCUGCAUUUGGCAAGUUCUAGACUAUUUAGACAGUCCCCCACCAUUUGGAAGUCACUGUCCAGUGAAAGGAUAACAGAGUGGGUUUCAACCAUUGUGGCACUGCAUGCUUCUGAGGAAGAGAAAGGAGGUGGACGGAGGAGAUGGAAAGACAAAGGUAGCAGAUUAAAAAGGAAACAGAUAAUCAGAGAAAGCUGAUGCAGAUGGAUGGAAGCACGGUUUGCUCCUGCUACUACAGGACAUGCUAAGGGAAGUAGAGUAUAAUUGGCUGUAUCCCCUGACUUCAGUCUUCCCUGGAUGCAACUUUCCAGGUUUCCUCAAAUUCUAGGCUCACCAUAGCACGAGAAGAGAAGAGAUCACAUGGUGCGCAGGUGCCUAAGCAGUUACCCUCCUCUCCUCAAAGGGGAAGCUACCUGAAGCAGUUUGAUCAGCAUUCUUAACUCGUUACUACUGCUAAAAAUUAAAUGUUUUAAUGGCAGACACUCUGACUCCAGACAUUGUAAUUAAAGAUCACCGUUGAUUCAAGAGGUCCUAACCUCAGCAGGCUGCAUCAGUAUCUUCUGUCUGAAGAAGUUGCUUUCUUUUCAUCAAACACAUUCCAGAAGUCAGCGGUAAAAGCACUGACGGGGGAGAGCAGAUUGAUCCAUUAACUCUCACCCAGUUCCUUGGCUGAACCCUCGCUUCACAUUCCAGUUUUAGAGAUUUGGUGAGUUAUCAAACAGGAAACAAGCUCUGAAAGGAAUUGUGUCUUUGGAGGUUGUUGCCAAGGCUCCUUCUUGUAGCCUGUGCACCCUAGAGAGGAUGAGAGAUCUGCCUCCUAACAACAGUUUUCAAGACUUCUCAAACUUUCUGCCUGAAUUAUGGGGUGGGGAGACCUUGUUAAAAUACACGUAGUGUAUACAAGUAGCGGUGGAUCCUGAGACUCUGCAUUUCUGUGCUUCUAAUAAGCUCCCAGCUGAUGCCAAUGUCAUGCCCAUGAGCCACAUUUUGAGUAGGAAGGAGCUAAAAAGCACUGGGAAUCUGACAGAAGACAAGGUAGUUGCCUUUUUACCCAUUUGAGUUUAAGCUUCCAACGUUAUCCAACAAUGCAUCAUAUAUACUUGCCAAAUGACAUUGGGUUGAAUGCAGUGGGAAGAAAUACAUAAGAAACUGCCCAGUGUGUGGUUAUUCAAACACCUACUGCUCAGGUUGUGAACAACACAGUCACUUUAAACCCCAUGGGCCCAGUGAGAAUGAGGAAUCCCGGCAAAAAACAAAGGUGUGUGUCUCUAAGGUGAGAAGAUUGACAAGGGAAGAUAGCCUCCAUACUUUCAGCAAGGCUAAAAGAGGAAUAGUGAUUAUUUCCUCUGUGCUCAGUUCUCUUUCGGGUGACUUUUUAACCUCAGGAGGUACUCCAGGCCACUUUGAGGGGAAUUCGAUUUGGGUGUAGCCUUUUAAGGCACCAUUCCAUGUGACUAAAAUAAAGAUCACAAGUGAGAUCCAAAGCACAGAGAAGUACUGCCUUAACAGAUCUGAACUUGCGGCAAGUUGCAGCUCCUCACCAUAGUCCAAGUUUCACUUUUCUCUCAAUUGAAGAGCCUGAGAUAACUGCUGAAUUUAGUUUUCGUUUUCUCCAAGAAGAGUGACCUUCUUACCUUAAAUUCUUUAAACUUACUGAUAAGGUUUCAUGUCAGACAGACCUGGCCCUGGUGUUUUGACAUACCGCCUGUGCCAUCUUGAACGCCAGACUUUUACAAAUGUUAUUUUCUCUUUUGUAAAAUUUAAAUGAUGAAAACCUACCCCACGGCAUUGCUGUGAAUCCUAAAUAAGGUAACGUAUAAACCAAGUAUGUAUAGUCUAAAUAAAUCAAUAAAACAACACAUGCACCUAUCUUUCCAAUUGUUAAAAAAAAAAAAAAAGUAGAACAUCUUUGUCCCCAAAAGCAGCUCAAAAUUCUUCUAGGAGUAGAGAGGGCAUUAGAAAUGCCAAAGGAUUUCCUUUGGUGGCGAAUUUGACGGCUGGGAAAUAUUUUAGGAGAGAGAAGGCCAUAAUUUAAAGUAUCCUGACAUCAAUAAAUAUUUCCUUAGCAUUUAGCUGUGAGAGCUCUGAAUCCUCUGUCUGUUCAGAAAUUUCUAAUUUAAAAAUAAUAUGGUGCUUUGGGAGUUUGUGAAUCCACACAAACGUCAGAAAGACCCGGUGUCGUCAUAGUUUUCCACACUUAGGGAGAUGUGUACACUGCCCUUAUUUCUUCCUGAGAUGACGAAGGAAGACAAGGUAACCUCCAUUACCCCUUCAG